rnacentral:lncRNA from 1 species
UAGAUCAUUGUGGUUUUAUAUUUUUAUACAUGCAUGAUUCAGAUUAAAAAUAUUUUAAUCUUAUAUUCUAUUAUGGUGUUUAGAAAAUAAAGUUUUGAAACACACAUGCAUGCCCCAAGUUUUGGAUUCCAACAUCAUGCCCAAUCAGAAUAUCUCAUACCUUCCCAUAAAUCUCAUGCCCAUCAGAAGGUUUGGGGCAAGUGGCAA